AGUGUUCAGGGGUUUCCCCCCUUAGUGCUGCAGCUAACGCAUUAAGCACUCCGCUGGGGAGUACGACCGCAAGGUUGAAACUCAAAGGAAUUGACGGGGGCCCGCACAGCGGUGGAGCAUGUGGUUUAAUUCGAAGCAACGCGAAGAACCUUACCAGGUCUUGACAUCCUUUGACCACUCUAGAGAUAGAGCUUUCCCUUCGGGGACAAAGUGACAGGUGGUGCAUGGUUGUCGUCAGCUCGUGUCGUGAGAUGUUGGGUUAAGUCCCGCAACGAGCGCAACCCUUAUUGUUAGUUGCCAUCAUUAAGUUGGGCACUCUAGCGAGACUGCCGGUGACAAACCGGAGGAAGGUGGGGAUGACGUCAAAUCAUCAUGCCCCUUAUGACCUGGGCUACACACGUGCUACAAUGGACAGUACAAUGAGCAGCGACACGGCGACGUGAAGCGAAUCUCAUAAAGCUGUUCUCAGUUCGGAUUGUAGGCUGCAACUCGCCUACAUGAAGCCGGAAUCGCUAGUAAUCGCGGAUCAGCACGCCGCGGUGAAUACGUUCCCGGGCCUUGUACACACCGCCCGUCACACCACGAAAGUUUGUAACACCCGAAGUCGGUGAGGUAACCGCAAGGAGCCAACCGCCUAAGGUGGGAUAGAUGAUUGGGGUGAAGUCGUAACAAGGUAACCAAGGGCGAAUUCCAG
rnacentral:rRNA from 1 species